rnacentral:lncRNA from 1 species
CAAAUAUAAGAUCUGUCAUUGGGAUAUCCAAAAGGAACACAAGACUGGGACUUUGAGCAAAACAAAAGGCUUCUUCAGAAUGGCAGCACCAGAAACCCAUCUUGAGGAAAACAGUUCAGCCAUGAUAAUAAAGGAGCAGUUGUCACUGCCCAGCAGUCUGGGGAAGUCCUAGAAGGCUGUUUCCAAACAAUUUGAAGUCCAUCGUUGUGCAGCCCGACUGUUACAUCUUGGGUAAGCUCAAAUAUUUUUUUAGCCAUAGGACCCAAACUCCUUUAGAGUCAAACAUGAGGUUGUCAGCUGCUAAAGCU